GGGCACAGCAGGAGCAUCCCAGCCGCGACCUAAUUUGCUGGGAUGCUCUUUUUUUAUGGGUGGGGUACAACGCG
rnacentral:tRNA from 1 species